rnacentral:lncRNA from 1 species
CGCGUCCGGUGCAGAGCGUAUGGUAUGGACCGGACACAUUCGAUGUGUGCGUCCGGUGUUCACUCAGUUUGCAAGGCUCUCUACGCAUGCGUCCGGUAUGGACCGGACAUGUCCAGUGCUACACCGGACACAUCCGAUGUGUGCGUACGGUGUUGCUGUCACUUUGUGGAGCUCUCUGCACACGCGUCCGGUAUGGACCGGAUGCAUCCGGUGUGAUCAAGUUGUG